UACGGGGGGAGCAAACGUUGCUCGGAAUCACUGGGCGUAAAGGGCGCGUAGGCGGCCCGGAAAGUGGUGUGUGAAAUCCCCUGGCUCAACCAGGGAAUUGCGCUCCAAACUCCCGGGCUUGAGGGCAGUAGAGGAAACUGGAAUUCCUGGUGUAGCGGCGAAAUGCGUAGAUAUCAGGAGGAACACCAUUGGCGAAGGCGAGUUUCUGGGCUGUCCCUGACGCUGAGGCGCGAAAGCUGGGGGAGCAAACAGG
rnacentral:misc_RNA from 1 species